UUUUGUUGUUAGCUUAUAAAAAUUUAAUUUACUUAUUUGUGUUCAGAGAUAACACAGAGCCACUGUUUCUGUAUUCUGUGUUUUUAAAGUUUAAGCAAAGUGUUGAGAGGCAUUUCAGUUCAAGCAUGGAGUGUUGAAAAUAAAUUCCAGAGCAUCCCUGGUACAAACAGACUGAAUAUGUUAAUGGUAACCUUCACUUCCUGUCCCUGCUGUUUCUCCAUUGUGGGCCACUAAUGCCUUUCCUUUUUGUAGAUUUCAUAGCCAUUCUUGGCCUCCCUGAAUUUCUCUGCUUUUCCAUGGGCCUUUAGGAAGAAUGAGCUGGCCCGUUUUCCUCGUUCCUGGACACUGCCUAUCUGGGCACACUGAUUUGUAUGAGUCAACCUGCUAUUCUUAUAUUUUCUAUAUUCCAAGACAGGUUUUACUUGAUUGAUUUACAAGUUUUUACAUCCACCUAGAGAGUCAGAAUCUCCUUUGGAAGGUAACUGCAGUCCAGAACAUUAGACUCUAAGGGCAUAUACUUCCAAGCAGCCUGGCCACUUCUCUCUGGGUCCCUCCAUGUCUGCUGAGAGCCUGUGCUUCUCACCUGCACUUCUUCACCCGGUUUCAUGAGUGUGCUUUGCUGACUGUACUGGG
rnacentral:lncRNA from 1 species